ACGGAGAAGGCUAGGCCAGCUUGGCGUUGGUUGUCCAAGUUUAAGGUGGUAGGCUGGAAUCUUAGGUAAAUCCGGGAUUCUAAGGCCGAGAGCUGAUGACGAGUUAUCUUUUAGAUGACGAAGUGGUUGAUGCCAUGCUUCCAAGAAAAGCUUCUAAGCUUCAGGUAACCAGGAACCGUACCCCAAACCGACACAGGUGGUUGGGUAGAGAAUACCAAGGCGCUUGAGAGAACUCGGGUGAAGGAACUAGGCAAAAUGGCACCGUAACUUCGGGAGAAGGUGCGCCGGUGAGGGUGAAGCAUUUACUGCGUAAGCCCAUGCCGGUCGAAGAUACCAGGCCGCUGCGACUGUUUAUUAAAAACACAGCACUCUGCAAACACGAAAGUGGACGUAUAGGGUGUGACGCCUGCCCGGUGCCGGAAGGUUAAUUGAUGGGGUUAGCUAACGCGAAGCUCUUGAUCGAAGCCCCGGUAAACGGCGGCCGUAACAAUAACGGUCCUAAGGUAGCGAAAUUCCUUGUCGGGUAAGUUCCGACCUGCACGAAUGGCGUAACGAUGGCGGCGCUGUCUCCACCCGAGACUCAGUGAAAUUGAAAUCGCUGUGAAGAUGCAGUGUAUCCGCGGCUAGACGGAAAGACCCCGUGAACCUUUACUAUAGCUUUGCACUGGACUUUGAAUUUGCUUGUGUAGGAUAGGUGGGAGGCUUUGAAGCGUGGACGCCAGUUCGCGUGGAGCCAACCUUGAAAUACCACCCUGGCAACUUUGAGGUUCUAACUCAGGUCCGUUAUCCGGAUCGAGGACAGUGUAUGGUGGGUAGUUUGACUGGGGCGGUCUCCUCCUAAAGAGUAACGGAGGAGUACGAAGGUGCGCUCAGACCGGUCGGAAAUCGGUCGUAGAGUAUAAAGGCAAAAGCGCGCUUGACUGCGAGACAGACACGUCGAGCAGGUACGAAAGUAGGUCUUAGUGAUCCGGUGGUUCUGUAUGGAAGGGCCAUCGCUCAACGGAUAAAAGGUACUCCGGGGAUAACAGGCUGAUACCGCCCAAGAGUUCAUAUCGACGGCGGUGUUUGGCACCUCGAUGUCGGCUCAUCACAUCCUGGGGCUGAAGCCGGUCCCAAGGGUAUGGCUGUUCGCCAUUUAAAGUGGUACGCGAGCUGGGUUUAGAACGUCGUGAGACAGUUCGGUCCCUAUCUGCCGUGGACGUUUGAGAUUUGAGAGGGGCUGCUCCUAGUACGAGAGGACCGGAGUGGACGAACCUCUGGUGUUCCGGUUGUCACGCCAGUGGCAUUGCCGGGUAGCUAUGUUCGGAAUAGAUAACCGCUGAAAGCAUCUAAGCGGGAAACUAGCCUCAAGAUGAGAUCUCACUGGGACCUUGAGUCCCCUGAAGGGCCGUCGAAGACUACGACGUUGAUAGGUUGGGUGUGUAAGCGCUGUGAGGCGUUGAGCUAACCAAUACUAAUUGCCCGUGAGGCUUGACC
rnacentral:rRNA from 1 species